AGGGAAGCAAGAACACUUCCAGAUCAUGUUCGACUUUCAACCAAUGUGCAAAAACUAAAGGCGCUAAAAUCCGAUAUUCUCCCUUCAUUCCUGGCUUUAGGAGGCAAGCAGCCAUGUUUGGAAAGUCCGCAAGGCAAAGGGCUGAGUACUAACAGCUAGCAGGUAACUGAGGUCUUCAAUCCGACAGCCCACAGAGACCAAAAUGCCGCCAAUAACCACCUGAACUUAGAAUCGGAUCCUUCCUUAGAAUUAUUGUUUCGUCCCUGACUCUCUGAAAUUCCAUGAAAUGGAAACCUGACCACAGCGGCCAAGCCAAAUAGGGACUUAUUUUUGUCACAUAACCCGGAAGUCUCGAGGCGGAA